rnacentral:miRNA from 1 species
CACAUGAGUUAACACAUUUAAUAUGUGUGUGUGUGUAUAUAUAUAUAUAUAUACAUAUAUACACACAUACACACACACAAUUCACAC